GGUAGUAGCAAAUAUUCAAAUGAGAACUUUGAAGACUGAAGUGGAGAAAGGUUCCUGGAGAACAUCAGUUGGUCCAGGGUUAGUCGAUCCUAAGAGAUAGGGAAGUUCCGUUUUUUCAAAGCGCCCAAUUUUUGGGCCGCCUAUCGAAAGGGAAACCGGUUAAUAUUCCGGAGCGAGUUUAUAACCUUGGCCGGAAGGUCUGGGUN
rnacentral:rRNA from 1 species